GACGAACGCUGGCGGCGUGCUUAACACAUGCAAGUCGAACGGAAAGGCCCUGCUUUUGUGGGGUGCUCGAGUGGCGAACGGGUGAGUAACACUUGAGUAACCUGCCCUUGACUUUGGGAUAACUUCAGGAAACUGGGGCUAAUACCGGAUAGGAGCUCCUGCUGCAUGGUGGGGGUUGGAAAGUUUCGGCGGUUGGGGAUGGACUCGCGGCUUAUCAGCUUGUUGGUGGGGUAGUGGCUUACCAAGGCUUUGACGGGUAGCCGGCCUGAGAGGGUGACCGGCCACAUCGGGACUGAGAUACGGCCCAGACUCCUACGGGAGGCAGCAGUGGGGAAUAGUGCACAAUGGGCGGAAGCCUGAUGCAGCAACGCCGCGUGCGGGAUGACGGCCUUCGGGUUGUAAACCGAUUUCGCCUGUGACGAAGCGUGAGUGACGGUAAUGGGUAAAGAAGCACCGGCUAACUACGUG
rnacentral:rRNA from 1 species